ACGGCUCAGUAACACGUAGUCAACCUGCCCUAGAGACAUGAAUAACCCCGGGAAACUGGGAUUAAUACAUGAUAGAUCAUCUCAUCUGGAAGGAGAGAUGGUUUAAAGGGGUGCGCGAGCUUCUUUUGUGCAUCCGCUCUAGGAUGGGACUGCGGCCGAUCAGGCUGUUGGUGGGGUAAUGGCCCACCAAACCUGUAACCGGUACGGGCCUUGAGAGAGGGGGCCCGGAGAUGGGCACUGAGAGAAGGGUCCAGGCCCUACGGGGCGCAGCAGGCGCGAAACCUUCGCAAUGCGCGAAAGCGUGACGAGGUUAAUCCGAGUGGUUCCCGCUGAGGGAAUCUUUUGUUGGCUCUAAAAUGGCCAGUGAAUAAGGGGAGGGCAAGUCUGGUGUCAGCCGCCGCGGUAAUACCAGCUCCUCGAGUGGUCGGGGCGAUUAUUGGGCCUAAAGCAUCCGUAGCCUGUUCUGUAGGUCUUCUGUUAAAUCCAACGGCUUAACCGUUGGCCUGCAGAAGAUACCGCAGGACUAGGAGGCGGGAGAGGUGGACGGUACUCCACGUGUAGGGGUAAAAUCCUUUGAUCCGUGGAAGACCACCAGUGGCGAAGGCGGUCCACCAGAACGCGCUCGACGGUGAGGGAUGGAAGCUGGGGGAGCGAACCGGAUUAGAUACCCGGGUAGUCCCAGCCGUAAACGAUGCGAGCUAGAUGAUCCAAUCGCAAAUCGCGAUUAGAGUGUCGCAGGGAAGCCGUUAAGCUCGCCGCCUGGGGAGUACGGUCGCAAGACUGAAACUUAAAGGAAUUGGCGGGGGAGCAC
rnacentral:rRNA from 1 species